rnacentral:rRNA from 1 species
ACGAACGCUGGCGGCAUGUCUAAGGCAUGCAAGUCGAAUGGGGUACCGCAAGGUAUACCCGUGGCAAACGGGAGAGUAACACGUGACUAACCUACCUUGACGUGGGGUAUAACUCCGGGAAACCGGAGACAAUCCCCCAUACGCUCUUAUUGCGUCAGCAAUAAGAGGAAAGAUUUAUCGCGUCAAGAGGGGGUUGCGACUCAUCAGCUAGUUGGUAGGGUAAUGGCCUACCAAGGCAACGACGAGUAGCGGGUGUGAGAGCAUGACCCGUCUCACUGGGACUGAGACACUGCCCAGACUCCUACGGGAGGCUGCAGUCAAGAAUCUUCCACAAUGGGCGCAAGCCUGAUGGAGCAAUGCCGCGUGCAGGAAGACGGCCUUCGGGUUGUAAACUGCUUUUCUUUGGGAAAAACGUUGAUGGUACCAAAGGAAUAAGGGGCUGCAAACUCUGU